UAGGGAAUAUUAGUAAUGGGCGAAAGCCUGAACUAGCAACGCCGCGUGAGCGAAGAAGGCCUUCGGGUUGUAAAGCACUUUUUGAGAGGAUGAGGAAGGACGGUACUCUCAGAAUAAGUCUCGGCUAACUACGUGCCAGCAGCCGCGGUAACACGUAGGAGGCGAACGUUAUCCGGAUUUACUGGGCGUAAAGCGCGUGUAGGUGGUUUGGUAAGUAGGGCGUGAAAGCUCCUGGCUCAACUGGGAGAGGCCGUUCUAAACUGCCGAACUAGAGGAUGGUAGAGGGAGGUGGAAUUCCGGACGUAGCGGUGGAAUGCGCAGAUAUCCGGAGGAACACCAGUGGCGAAAGCGGCCUCCUGGACCAUUCCUGACACUCAGACGCGAAAGCUAGGGUAGCAAACGG
rnacentral:rRNA from 1 species